rnacentral:rRNA from 1 species
ACGGGGCUAAACCAUGCACCGAAGCUGCGGCAGCGACACUAUGUGUUGUUGGGUAGGGGAGCGUUCUGUAAGCCUGCGAAGGUGACCUGUGAGGGUUGCUGGAGGUAUCAGAAGUGCGAAUGCUGACAUAAGUAACGAUAAAGCGGGUGAAAAGCCCGCUCGCCGGAAGACCAAGGGUUCCUGUCCAACGUUAAUCGGGGCAGGGUGAGUCGACCCCUAAGGCGAGGCCGAAAGGCGUAGUCGAUGGGAAACAGGUUAAUAUUCCUGUACUUGGUGUUACUGCGAAGGGGGGACGGAGAAGGCUAUGUUAGCCGGGCGACGGUUGUCCCGGUUUAAGCAUGUAGGCUGAUUGUCCAGGCAAAUCCGGAUAAUCAAGGCUGAGGUGUGAUGACGAGGCACUACGGUGCUGAAGUAACAAAUGCCCUGCUUCCAGGAAAAGCCUCUAAGCAUCAGGUAACAUCAAAUCGUACCCCAAACCGACACAGGUGGUCAGGUAGAGAAUACCAAGGCGCUUGAGAGAACUCGGGUGAAGGAACUAGGCAAAAUGGUGCCGUAACUUCGGGAGAAGGCACGCUGGUGUGUAGGUGAAGCCCCUGCGGGUGGAGCUGAGACCAGUCGAAGAUACCAGCUGGCUGCAACUGUUUAUUAAAAACACAGCACUGUGCAAACACGAAAGUGGACGUAUACGGUGUGACGCCUGCCCGGUGCCGGAAGGUUAAUUGAUGGGGUUAUCCGUAAGGAGAAGCUCUUGAUCGAAGCCCCGGUAAACGGCGGCCGUAACUAUAACGGUCCUAAGGUAGCGAAAUUCCUUGUCGGGUAAGUUCCGACCUGCACGAAUGGCGUAAUGAUGGCCAGGCUGUCUCCACCCGAGACUCAGUGAAAUUGAACUCGCUGUGAAGAUGCAGUGUACCCGCGGCAAGACGGAAAGACCCCGUGAACCUUUACUAUAGCUUGACACUGAACAUUGAGCCUUGAUGUGUAGGAUAGGUGGGAGGCUUUGAAGCGUGGACGCCAGUCUGCGUGGAGCCAACCUUGAAAUACCACCCUUUAAUGUUUGAUGUUCUAACGUUGGCCCCUGACCGGGGUUGCGGACAGUGUCUGGUGGGUAGUUUGACUGGGGCGGUCUCCUCCCAAAGCGUAACGGAGGAGCACGAAGGUUAGCUAAUCCUGGUCGGACAUCAGGAGGUUAGUGCAAUGGCAUAAGCUAGCUUGACUGCGAGCGUGACGGCGCGAGCAGGUGCGAAAGCAGGUCAUAGUGAUCCGGUGGUUCUGAAUGGAAGGGCCAUCGCUCAACGGAUAAAAGGUACUCCGGGGAUAACAGGCUGAUACCGCCCAAGAGUUCAUAUCGACGGCGGUGUUUGGCACCUCGAUGUCGGCUCAUCACAUCCUGGGGCUGAAGUAGGUCCCAAGGGUAUGGCUGUUCGCCAUUUAAAGUGGUACGCGAGCUGGGUUUAGAACGUCGUGAGACAGUUCGGUCCCUAUCUGCCGUGGGCGCUGGAGAAUUGAGGGGGGCUGCUCCUAGUACGAGAGGACCGGAGUGGACGCAUCACUGGUGUUCGGGUUGUCAUGCCAAUGGCACUGCCCGGUAGCUAAAUGCGGAAGAGAUAAGUGCUGAAAGCAUCUAAGCACGAAACUUGCCCCGAGAUGAGUUCUCCCUGAGACUUUAAGUCUCCUGAAGGAACGUUGAAGACGACGACGUUGAUAGGCCGGGUGUGUAAGCGCAGCGAUGCGUUGAGCUAACCGGUACUAAUGAACCGUGAGGCUUAACC